CGCACGCAAGGCUCCGAGUAGCCACAGAGACCUCCAUGCUCACAAAUCAUGAGCUCCUUAGGUGUGGCAUUGUGACAUCAGAGAAGCAGAUGCUGAAAGGGGAUAUGUACAUGCAAAUGGACCUGUGCACAAGUGUGGGCCAAGCCACUCCUUGCCCAUUCUGCACUUUGGUACUAAUCAGAAAAAAAAGGUCACUUCCUCUGGAUAAAAGCAGACCCUAUACUGGAACAUGUGAUUUGGUGUGACAGCAAGAGCUCUAGCGAUUAUCCUGGACUAUGAAGAGGGAACACAGGAAUGAACACAGGAGAAAAUGGAGCUGUGAGCUGGAAAAGUGUGAGUCUCUGAAUUCAUGAAGCCAGCUUAUCUCAGCAAUUUAUUUCAUGUAAGAAACCCUUGUUGGGUCAUAAUUACUUUGUGCUUUUUUUUUUCUUUGUAUGCAGCUAAACCUAAUCAUAAAUGAUCCACCUUCUAAGGUUAUUCUAGCUUACAAGCAAUAAUUAUUUAAUUCAUAGCAUGUGUUUGUACCACCCAUUAAGCAAAUAUAUUUCUGUCUGAAGACAACUUUUUGUGACUGUUUCAUUUUUUCUGGAUUUAUAUUUUGCCUUUCCAACAAGUUAUAAGCUUCCUGAGGAGAAAGCACAAAGUCGUACGUUCUUCGUCACUGCAAUUUCUAGCAAAUUGUCUGGCAUAGAGUACAUGUUUAAUAAAUGUUUACUGUCUUGAUUACAGCAUGAUUGUCCUUUAGAAAGAAUGUGGGGAAUUUAAAGUCUUUAAGACUCUUCACAAAGGGAAAUAACAGUGUAAAGAAACAUAUGUCCUCUAGACACACACACACACACACACACACACACACACGACAAAACUCAACCCAUGAAGUGAUCGCUCUGAGAUGCUAUGACUUUGUUUACUUGAGAAAUUCCUACUUUGCUUUCUCGAAAAUAGAAGUCACCAGCACAGAGACACCUUCUGGGCACACCAAUUCAUCUGUGUGUAGAGUCUCCCACUGAUGAAGUUUGACCCCUAAAACACAAUCUCAUGAAUGUGGAAGCUGCUUGCGCUAAAAGUCAUUAUUUCACAAAUGCUUUCCUUCUUCGUCUUUAGUCUAAAUGCAGAGUUCAUUUACAUUUGCGUAAAUAACGUUUCACCCUGUGUUGAGCCUCUAGCUGUUUUUAAAAACCUUCAGCAACCUGAAGCUGUCUGCCUUUUUGCAAACACUCGGUUUUCAUAAAUUAUCCUUAAAACAUAUCUACAUGGUUCAUGGGCUCUUAACUAUCAUAGAAAAAAAGGUAAGGGAAACCGAGGAAGAAAGAGAAGUUACAUCUGUAUGUCAAUCAAAUGCAGAAAAAUGGAAAAAAAAUAAACAGGAAAAACAUUUACAAUAUCAAAAGAAAACAAAAUCACUUUUUAAUUUACUUUGCCAGUUCUGAAGCGAAGCACUUGCUCUUUCCUUAUUAACAUUAGUCUUUUGAGCAAUUUUUCCCAUUGUAAGCACUUUCUAAAAAAUCAUUUUCACACAUUUCUCAGAUACAUCAAUCCUUUCGGCAUUCCUCCAUGCACACAUUAUGGUACCCCAGCUCUAAAUAUAAAAGACUUUUAUUAUGUCCAUUAACCAUGGACAUAUGUGCUCCAAAAGUUUCCUGACACGCAGUCAUUUGUGGUUUUUUAAUUAUAAACAGAAAAUAUUCACUAGAAAAAUAAAACAGCAGCCUAUAAAUUUAUCUUUUUACAUUUGAGUUUUGUUUGUAUAUGACAAAAGAUUGGAUAAAUGACUCUCCCAGUUGCCGGCUCCAGGAAGUGGGCAUGCAUGUGUUUAUAUACACACAGAGACACACACAUAUUCACAUGUGUAAUGAAAUCCAUGCACUGUACAGGACUCACACAUCUGUGAUAGCAGGUACCACUGUCUUGCUUCUAAAAUAAGGGUACAAAUUUUCCUAAGACUCACCAGGUCUCGCUCUGCAUAAAACAUUAAGUGGGGAAGCAGAUAAUGCCCAGUAAAAUACUUGACAAACAAAGUCAUAUUUAUUGAAUGCGUUUAUUUUAACAACCAAAAAAUUCUAACAGCCUAACAAUGCACAUAAGUUAAAAAUUAAUUAUCACUUAGUGAUAACAAAGAUAGUUGAUUUACAUGGAAAAAAGAACAUUUACAAUAUGUUAAUCCUUAUUCACAUUGUUGAUACCGCAAUAAAACACAAUUUGUUUUUUUCAUUUCACAAAAAAAAAAAAAAAAGGCGGGAAAUUGUGCUUUGUCAAGAGGCACUACAAGAGAAAGUUUCUUCUUCCAAAUAGAUAUUAUAUGACAGAUAUUGAAUAAAUAGACAUAUAUGCAUUGUAAUUCGCAAAGAUCUGGCAAGACCACAGGCUAAAAUGCCCACAGAUUCACUUAGAACCACUGCAAACUUGGCAGUGAAAUUAAAAAAUAAAAGGCAAGACUUAGCAUUGAAAAAUACCUAAUAAAUUUUUGGUUGAAGUGUAAAAGAUACCAGAUGCGGAUGCCAUCGAUAGAUGAACCACCUUGUAAGAGCUUGGCAAAAUCAGUUUCCAUUACGUGUACAGAGUGACCUUCAGCAACAGUGUAAGAAGACAAUUUGGAAAGAGUAACUCGGAGAUCAGGAAGCAGCAACCAUGGACUUUCUGAUUAAAGCUGCAGCAUACUACAGAAAUAGGAAGGAUGGGGCCAGGGCGAACUGCAAACAACCAUCCUUUUGCAAAGGUAUAUGACGCUCAUGUCAAGAUAAUUUUUAAACAUCAUUAUUUGAAAAAGUACAGGAAAAUGUCCCUUUAAAAACUCCAGAGGUUACUGAGCAGCUAGAAUUAGCUUGUAUUGCAACAUGUCUUCUCCCUGUAUAUUGUAAGUUCUGAGUUAAUAUCUACACAUAGAGGUUUUUUUUUAACUCCUACCUUUUAUACCUUUCAAAUAUAUAAAUAGUAUUAACAGUUAUAUUACAAUGUUUGUGUAGUAAACAGAAACUAACUUUCAAAGUGAUAUUGCAUGAGGUCUUUGACAAGGUUUCGUGAGAGCACAACUCAAAAAAAAAAAAAAAAAAAAAAAAAAAAAAAAAAAAUCCAACCAUGUGGGACUGUUUAAUGACCAGUUUGAAGCAUGGAUUACGUUCACUAGGCCAGUCCUGAAUGUGAGGUCUCCUCUUGCAAUUACUGUAAGUAGAAGUGGAAAGUAAUGCUUCUGGUGUUUCUCAUAGGGAGCUGAAAGAGAUCUGGAGUACUAUAGUAGAUUGCAGCUUUAAUGCUCACCCCACUAAACAUCCAGUCAGCAUUAGUUCUGCUUUACAUAAGGUAAUUGCGAUGUAGGUAACUGGGAUAAUGUUUUCUUUUAGGAUGAGUAAGUGAUUCUACUGAAAUCGCUUCACAUACUCUAUUGCCCGGAGCUGCACAAUGAUUCAGAAACAGUUCUUGUUAGGGCUGUCAUCCCAGGAAAAGGGACAGGAGAGAUUAGGGACUGAAAAUGUUUGAUUAGGUAGAUGGAAUGUGUGCGAAGAAGAGGAAGCCCAAAGUGAAACAGAAAUCAGAAAUGUCUUUUGGGAGAGGGAAGGAUGGAGAUUUAUUUGAGAGGGAGCCCCUUUAACUGGGCAGCAACUUCUUUUCUAACUUAAUAUUACACUGAACUAUUUUCUAGUAAAAAACAAAAAGACAAAAAAAACAGCAACAACAAACAACUUUUAAACGAGCAGGCUUAUUAAUUUUCAGAUUUGAAGCCACAAGCAGGUAAAUAAAUUUCACAACAAAAUGUGGCUCAUACUAUGAAUUCCAUACGUCCAAUGUCAAAAUGUCAUUUGAUCAAGACUUGCACUAAUGGACAAAGUUUUCUCUGCACUGAAUUUGUUUUACUUAUUUGGAAUUCCACAGAAAUGCAUCUGUUCACUACAUUAAUGACAAAUUGAAUAACGGAACGUAGUGAGUCAUUUUAUUGAGUCAUUUUAAGUGUGCAUUGUGUCUUUAAGAGUAAUUUGACUUGUAUCAUUUUAAUGUUCCCUGAUUUUUUUCACUUUACUUUUUUUUUCUUUUUUCUUUUUUUUUUUUGGCAGUGUUGGUUUAUUUUGUUAAAUACAUACCUCAAAAAUUACCCAUUAAGCUGCCAGAUAGGAAGCCAAAGAAUUAAAAAAAAAAAAAAUCAGGGACAAACACAAAAAAUAAAUAGGAAUUCAAAAAUAGUCACCCCACCCUGAGAGCAGGCCGCAGUUUAUCAAAAAGCCAAAGCGACUCACUGUGAAGUGGUUUUUUUUUAAUACAUAAACAAGUCUUUUCUUUAAGAACUCAUUUCACAGUCUAUUCUUUCGGAUUGUAAAGUCUCUGUCCCAUGCAAUUUUAAUAUAUAUAUGUAAAUAUAGAGAUAUAUACAUAUACAUAUACACACACACUUGUAGCUUCCUUCAUUUAUGUCGUAGUUCUUUUCAUCCUGGAAUUUGCCUGAUUUAACUUCCGUUAAGUGCAAGGAUAAUGAAGGCAGAGUCUCCUGUGAUUAUAAUGACUAUGAUCCAGUCACAGAGACGGGAUAAAGUGUAACGCUUUAGUGUCUUUGCCAAGGCGAUGUCUGAUUCGGAAAUACUGAACUUAUUCAGUCUAUAGGUGUAUCCUCUGCAACAAAGAAAUGUCCAAAAGGGUAAGAAAAACAAAACAAACAGACAUAAAAAGACAAAAAUAAAGCAAAAAACAAAAACGAAAACAAAAAACAAAACAAAAAAACCCAAAACUUUUAAAGAAAUGAAAGCAGAAAAUCCUUGGACCGAUGUAUUGCU
rnacentral:lncRNA from 1 species